rnacentral:rRNA from 1 species
UACGGGGGGGGCAAGCGUUGUUCGGAAUUACUGGGCGUAAAGGGCUCGUAGGCGGCCAACUAAGUCAGACGUGAAAUCCCUCGGCUUAACCGGGGAACUGCGUCUGAUACUGGAUGGCUUGAGAUUGGGAGAGGGAUGCGGAAUUCCAGGUGUAGCGGUGAAAUGACGUAGAUAUCUGGAGGAACACCGGUGGCGAAGGCGGCAUCCUGGACCAACACUGACGCUGAUGAGCGAAAGCCAGGGGAGCAAACGGG